ensembl:misc_RNA 7SK 7SK RNA
GGACAUAAGGGUGACCUGGCUGCGACAUGUCACAGGGCUGAUUCGGCUGAUCUGGCUGGCUGGGCAGGUGUCCCCUCCCUCCUCACUGCUCCAUGUGCCUUCCUCCUGACACUGCUGGCUCAGUGGAAGAGGACCUUUCCUGCCAAAGACCUUACCUGCCAACAGAGUCUUUGGUUGCAGGUAUACCAGUAAGCUGUUCUCCCCGGCUAGAACCUCCAAACAAGCUCUUACAUUUAUAAAAUAUGCUAAAAGGGAAACAUACUUUAGCAACUACAUGACUAGCACUGCCGCUGAAUUA